GCCCGAGUGGCGCAACGGCAGCGCAGCCGAUUUGUAAUUGGCAGGUUGUGGGUUCGACUCCCUCCUCGGGCUCCA
rnacentral:tRNA from 2 species